GAUGAACGCUGGCGGCGUGCCUAAUACAUGCAAGUCGAGCGAACAGACGAGGAGCUUGCUCCUCUGACGUUAGCGGCGGACGGGUGAGUAACACGUGGAUAACCUACCUAUAAGACUGGGAUAACUUCGGGAAACCGGAGCUAAUACCGGAUAAUAUAUUGAACCGCAUGGUUCAAUAGUGAAAGACGGUUUUGCUGUCACUUAUAGAUGGAUCCGCGCCGCAUUAGCUAGUUGGUAAGGUAACGGCUUACCAAGGCAACGAUGCGUAGCCGACCUGAGAGGGUGAUCGGCCACACUGGAGCUGAGACACGGUCCAGACGCCGACGGGAGGCAGCAGUAGGGAAUCUUCCGCAAUGGGCGGAAGCCUGACGGAGCGGCGCCCCGUGAGUGAUGAAGGUCUUCGGAUCGUAAAACUCUGUUAUUGGGGAAGAACAAAUGUGUAAGUAACUAUGCACGUCUUGACGGUACCUAAACAGAAAGCCACGGCUAACUACGUG
rnacentral:rRNA from 1 species